GGCCCGAGGCAGAUUUGAUGGCUUGAAUAAAGGAUUUAUUUCUUUGGUUCUUAAUAAGGUUGGAGACCAACUUAGAUCCCCUAUUCCCAUGAAGGUAUUGUUUGAAGCGCAAUACCAACAUUCAAA